AACGUACGCUGGCGGCAUGCCUAACACAUGCAAGUCGAACGAUGGUCUUCGGAUCAUAGUGGCGCACGGGUGCGUAACGCGUGGGAAUCUGCCCUUGGGUUCGGAAUAACAGUUGGAAACGACUGCUAAUACCGGAUGAUGUCGAUAAGACCAAAGAUUUAUCGCCCGAGGAUGAGCCCGCGUCGGAUUAGCUAGUUGGUGGGGUAAAGGCCUACCAAGGCGACGAUCCGUAGCUGGUCUGAGAGGAUGAUCAGCCACACUGGGACUGAGACACGGCCCAGACUCCUACGGGAGGCAGCAGUGGGGAAUAUUGGACAAUGGGCGCAAGCCUGAUCCAGCAAUGCCGCGUGAGUGAUGAAGGCCUUAGGGUUGUAAAGCUCUUUUACCCGGGAAGAUAAUGACUGUACCGGGAGAAUAAGCCCCGGCUAACUCCGUG
rnacentral:rRNA from 1 species